rnacentral:rRNA from 1 species
UACGUAGGGUGCAAGCGUUGUCCGGAAUUAUUGGGCGUAAAGAGCUCGUAGGCGGUCUGUCGCGUCGGCUGUGGAAAUCCCGAGGCUCAACCUCGGGUCUGCAGUCGAUACGGGCAAACUAGAGUAUUGCAGGGGAGACUGGAAUUCCUGGUGUAGCGGUGGAAUGCGCAGAUAUCAGGAGGAACACCGGUGGCGAAGGCGGGUCUCUGGGCAGUAACUGACGCUGAGGAGCGAAAAGCGUGGGGAGCGAAACAGG